CUUUAGUCCCAGUUCUGGAAACUUCCCUGUUCUGCAGGAUUAGAAGAUUCCUUUAGGACUUCUGACCUGACUACUCCCUGGUCUCACCUGAUGCUUCUUCCCACAGGAGGACAAGGAGGAAGCUACACUCAGGCUGCAAGCAGCCACAGUCCCUGUGCUCUGAAGUGUAUCUCCGCCCCUAUAGGGGCAGGACCAAUGUGCUAUCCAUAGAAAACAGAGGUACCAAGUUACCGCCCCGCCUAAGGAAAGGUGGGGCUGAGCAGGGAUGAGAAGCUAAGGAAGAGGAGGAAGACAUGGAGCAAGAUGGGGAAAGGAGACUGAGGAGGUGCAUGGAGCAGAGAGACAUGUGAAGAAGAAACCACGCCUUGCUUCUCACUUGGACUUGUUCCAUGGAGUUGGGGACAUGGAAAGAGACAUGUGAAAGAGAUUAAAAACAUGGGUGAGAGACUCAUGGGGAGGCUGACAAUGACCGCUGUUAUCUUGUCAUGGAUUUAGAUUUUGUUCUUUUCCUUCCAGACUUGCCUGGCCCCUCCUGACCCUUUCCCAUGGGUCUCUACCAGUAGGUGCCUUAGCCUUGUGGCAGGCGUUCGGGCCCCAGUGGGCCUGCUUUGGGCCCAGCCUGUUUGGCUGGGCAUUGACCCAUGAGGGGACGGGUAACUUUGGGUGCUUCACUUGGGAACUAUACUAACUAUAUUCUUUCUCUUCUUCUCUCUCUAUUGCACACUGAUUCUCUAUUUUAUAGUAAUUGUAUUAAAGUUCUUUUCUAUUGAAGG